rnacentral:rRNA from 1 species
AGUGAACGCUGGCGGUAGGCCUAACACAUGCAAGUCGAACGGCAGCACAGUAAGAGCUUGCUCUUACGGGUGGCGAGUGGCGGACGGGUGAGGAAUACAUCGGAAUCUACUUUUUCGUGGGGGAUAACGUAGGGAAACUUACGCUAAUACCGCAUACGACCUACGGGUGAAAGCAGGGGAUCUUCGGACCUUGCGCGAUUGAAUGAGCCGAUGUCGGAUUAGCUAGUUGGCGGGGUAAAGGCCCACCAAGGCGACGAUCCGUAGCUGGUCUGAGAGGAUGAUCGGCCACACUGGAACUGAGACACGGUCCAGACUCCUACGGGAGGCAGCAGUGGGGAAUAUUGGACAAGGGGCGCAAGCCUGAUCCAGCCAUACCGCGUGGGUGAAGAAGGCCUUCGGGUUGUAAAGCCCUUUUGUUGGGAAAGAAAAGCAGCAGGUUAAUACCCCGCUGUUCCGACGGUACCCAAAGAAUAAGCACCGGCUAACUUCGUG